GUUAAAUGAAGUGAUGAAUAUUCUUUUUUCCCCAACUUAUCGAUCAUGGUGAGAUUAAUUGCUGAUUUACUUAGCCAGAUAUUCUGAUCAUAAAAC